GUCUAUGGCCAUACCACUCUGAACACAACCAAUCUCAUCUGAUCUCGGAAGCUAAGCAGGGUCAGGUCUGGUUAGUACUUGGAUGGGAGAAGUCUGUAAAUACCUUUCAAAUGACC
rfam:Erinaceus europaeus unplaced genomic scaffold scaffold00015, whole genome shotgun sequence